rnacentral:rRNA from 1 species
AUUGAACGCUGGCGGGAUGCCUAACACAUGCAAGUCGAGCGGAGCGGCGAACGGGUGAGUAAUGCAUCGGAAUCUGCCCGGUAGCGGGGGAUAACUACCGGAAACGGGCGCUAAUACCGCAUACUAUCAGAUCAGCCUAGGUCGGAUUAGCUAGUGGGUGGGGUAACGGCCCACCAAGGCGACGAUCCGUAACUGGUAUGAGAGGAUGACCAGUCACACUGGAACUGAGACACGGGCCAGACGCCUACGGGAGGCAGCAGUGGGGAAUAUUGGACAAUGGGGGAAAGCCUGAUCCAGCCAUGCCGCGUGUGUGAAGAAGGUCUUCGGAUUGUAAAGCACUUUAGGCAGGGAGGCGGUACCUACAGAAUAAGCACCGGCUAACUACGUGCCAGCAGCCGCGGUAAUUC